ensembl:lncRNA
AGGCUUUAUGGUAUUGGGUAAAAAUACAGCUAAAUGCAUGUAAAUGUAUGGAAUUAAGAACUGAACAAACAGGACAAGGAGGCAUCCAUCCAUUCAUAUAUCACAGCGGCAUUUAUGCGCAUAGUAGCAUUUGUGUGUUACAGUAGCAUUCAUGUGUUAGAGUGGGAUUACAGUCGCAUUCAUGUGUUAGAGUGAGAUUAUAGUCACAAUCAUGUGUUAGAGUGAGAUUAUAGUCACAAUCAUGUGUUACAGGAGGAUUAUAGGUGCAUUCAUGUGUUAGAGUGAGAUUACAGUCGCAUUCAUGUGUUACAGUAGCAUUCACGUGUUACAGUAGGAUUAUAGUCGCAUUCAUGUGUUAGAGUGAGAUUAAAGUCACAAUCAUAUGUUACAGGAGGAUUAUAGUCUCAUUCAUGUGUUAAAGUGAGAUUAUAGUCGCAAUCAUGUGUUAGAGUGGGAUUAUAGUCCCAUUUACAGUACCAGUCAAAAGUUUGGACACACCUUGAAUUGUUUUCUUUACUUUUAUUAUUUUCUACAUUGUAGAUUAAUACUGAAGACAUUUUAACUACGAAAGAACACAUAUGGAAUGAUGUUCUAAACAAAAAAAAGUGUUAUCUACCAUGUAGAAAAUAAUAAAAGUAAAGAAAAAACUUCUCAAAAAAUGAGAAAGUGUGUCCAAACUUUUGACUGGUACUGUAUGUGUUACAGUGGGAUUACAGUUGCAUUCAUGUAUUAAAGUGGAAUUUUAGUCGCAUUCAUGUAUUACAGGUGGAUUAUAGGUGCAAUCAUGUGUUAGAGUGAGAUUAAAGUCACAAUCAUAUGUUACAGGAGGAUUAUAGUCGCAUUCAUGUGUUAGAGUAGGAUUAUUGUCGCAUUUAUGUGUUAGAGUGAGAUUAUAGUCACA